UGGCGGCGUGGAUAAGACAUGCAAGUCGAACGAGAGAAUUGCUAGCUUGCUAAUAAUUCUCUAGUGGCGCACGGGUGAGUAACACGUGAGUAACCUGCCCCCGAGAGCGGGAUAGCCCUGGGAAACUGGGAUUAAUACCGCAUAGUAUCGAAAGAUUAAAGCAGCAAUGCGCUUGGGGAUGGGCUCGCGGCCUAUUAGUUAGUUGGUGAGGUAACGGCUCACCAAGGCGAUGACGGGUAGCCGGUCUGAGAGGAUGUCCGGCCACACUGGAACUGAGACACGGUCCAGACACCUACGGGUGGCAGCAGUCGAGAAUCAUUCACAAUGGGGGAAACCCUGAUGGUGCGACGCCGCGUGGGGGAAUGAAGGUCUUCGGAUUGUAAACCCCUGUCAUGUGGGAGCAAAUUAAAAAGAUAGUACCACAAGAGGAAGAGACGGCUAACUCUGUGCCAGCAGCCGCGGUAAUACAGAGGUCUCAAGCGUUGUUCGGAAUCACUGGGCGUAAAGCGUGCGUAGGCUGUUUCGUAAGUCGUGUGUGAAAGGCGCGGGCUCAACCCGCGGACGGCACAUGAUACUGCGAGACUAGAGUAAUGGAGGGGGAACCGGAAUUCUCGGUGUAGCA
rnacentral:rRNA from 1 species